UUAAGCGACUAAGCGUACACGGUGGAUGCCCUGGCAGUCAGAGGCGAUGAAGGACGUGCUAAUCUGCGAUAAGCGUCGGUAAGGUGAUAUGAACCGUUAUAACCGGCGAUUUCCGAAUGGGGAAACCCAGUGUGUUUCGACACACUAUCAUUAACUGAAUCCAUAGGUUAAUGAGGCGAACCGGGGGAACUGAAACAUCUAAGUACCCCGAGGAAAAGAAAUCAACCGAGAUUCCCCCAGUAGCGGCGAGCGAACGGGGAGCAGCCCAGAGCCUGAAUCAGUGUGUGUGUUAGUGGAAGCGUCUGGAAAGGCGCGCGAUACAGGGUGACAGCCCCGUACACAAAAAUGCACAUAUUGUGAGCUCGAUGAGUAGGGCGGGACACGUGGUAUCCUGUCUGAAUAUGGGGGGACCAUCCUCCAAGGCUAAAUACUCCUGACUGACCGAUAGUGAACCAGUACCGUGAGGGAAAGGCGAAAAGAACCCCGGCGAGGGGAGUGAAAAAGAACCUGAAACCGUGUACGUACAAGCAGUGGGAGCACGCUUAGGCGUGUGACUGCGUACCUUUUGUAUAAUGGGUCAGCGACUUAUAUUCUGUAGCAAGGUUAACCGAAUAGGGGAGCCGAAGGGAAACCGAGUCUUAACUGGGCGUUAAGUUGCAGGGUAUAGACCCGAAACCCGGUGAUCUAGCCAUGGGCAGGUUGAAGGUUGGGUAACACUAACUGGAGGACCGAACCGACUAAUGUUGAAAAAUUAGCGGAUGACUUGUGGCUGGGGGUGAAAGGCCAAUCAAACCGGGAGAUAGCUGGUUCUCCCCGAAAGCUAUUUAGGUAGCGCCUCGUGAAUUCAUCUCCGGGGGUAGAGCACUGUUUCGGCAAGGGGGUCAUCCCGACUUACCAACCCGAUGCAAACUGCGAAUACCGGAGAAUGUUAUCACGGGAGACACACGGCGGGUGCUAACGUCCGUCGUGAAGAGGGAAACAACCCAGACCGCCAGCUAAGGUCCCAAAGUCAUGGUUAAGUGGGAAACGAUGUGGGAAGGCCCAGACAGCCAGGAUGUUGGCUUAGAAGCAGCCAUCAUUUAAAGAAAGCGUAAUAGCUCACUGGUCGAGUCGGCCUGCGCGGAAGAUGUAACGGGGCUAAACCAUGCACCGAAGCUGCGGCAGCGACGCUUAUGCGUUGUUGGGUAGGGGAGCGUUCUGUAAGCCUGUGAAGGUGUGCUGUGAGGCAUGCUGGAGGUAUCAGAAGUGCGAAUGCUGACAUAAGUAACGAUAAAGCGGGUGAAAAGCCCGCUCGCCGGAAGACCAAGGGUUCCUGUCCAACGUUAAUCGGGGCAGGGUGAGUCGACCCCUAAGGCGAGGCCGAAAGGCGUAGUCGAUGGGAAACAGGUUAAUAUUCCUGUACUUGGUGUUACUGCGAAGGGGGGACGGAGAAGGCUAUGUUGGCCGGGCGACGGUUGUCCCGGUUUAAGCGUGUAGGCUGGUUUUCCAGGCAAAUCCGGAAAAUCAAGGCUGAGGCGUGAUGACGAGGCACUACGGUGCUGAAGCAACAAAUGCCCUGCUUCCAGGAAAAGCCUCUAAGCAUCAGGUAACAUCAAAUCGUACCCCAAACCGACACAGGUGGUCAGGUAGAGAAUACCAAGGCGCUUGAGAGAACUCGGGUGAAGGAACUAGGCAAAAUGGUGCCGUAACUUCGGGAGAAGGCACGCUGAUAUGUAGGUGAAGCGACUUGCUCGUGGAGCUGAAAUCAGUCGAAGAUACCAGCUGGCUGCAACUGUUUAUUAAAAACACAGCACUGUGCAAACACGAAAGUGGACGUAUACGGUGUGACGCCUGCCCGGUGCCGGAAGGUUAAUUGAUGGGGUCAGCGCAAGCGAAGCUCUUGAUCGAAGCCCCGGUAAACGGCGGCCGUAACUAUAACGGUCCUAAGGUAGCGAAAUUCCUUGUCGGGUAAGUUCCGACCUGCACGAAUGGCGUAAUGAUGGCCAGGCUGUCUCCACCCGAGACUCAGUGAAAUUGAACUCGCUGUGAAGAUGCAGUGUACCCGCGGCAAGACGGAAAGACCCCGUGAACCUUUACUAUAGCUUGACACUGAACAUUGAGCCUUGAUGUGUAGGAUAGGUGGGAGGCUUUGAAGUGUGGACGCCAGUCUGCAUGGAGCCGACCUUGAAAUACCACCCUUUAAUGUUUGAUGUUCUAACGUUGACCCGUAAUCCGGGUUGCGGACAGUGUCUGGUGGGUAGUUUGACUGGGGCGGUCUCCUCCUAAAGAGUAACGGAGGAGCACGAAGGUUGGCUAAUCCUGGUCGGACAUCAGGAGGUUAGUGCAAUGGCAUAAGCCAGCUUGACUGCGAGCGUGACGGCGCGAGCAGGUGCGAAAGCAGGUCAUAGUGAUCCGGUGGUUCUGAAUGGAAGGGCCAUCGCUCAACGGAUAAAAGGUACUCCGGGGAUAACAGGCUGAUACCGCCCAAGAGUUCAUAUCGACGGCGGUGUUUGGCACCUCGAUGUCGGCUCAUCACAUCCUGGGGCUGAAGUAGGUCCCAAGGGUAUGGCUGUUCGCCAUUUAAAGUGGUACGCGAGCUGGGUUUAGAACGUCGUGAGACAGUUCGGUCCCUAUCUGCCGUGGGCGCUGGAGAAUUGAGGGGGGCUGCUCCUAGUACGAGAGGACCGGAGUGGACGCAUCACUGGUGUUCGGGUUGUCAUGCCAAUGGCACUGCCCGGUAGCUAAAUGCGGAAGAGAUAAGUGCUGAAAGCAUCUAAGCACGAAACUUGCCCCGAGAUGAGUUCUCCCUGACUCCUUGAGAGUCCUGAAGGAACGUUGAAGACGACGACGUUGAUAGGCCGGGUGUGUAAGCGCAGCGAUGCGUUGAGCUAACCGGUACUAAUGAACCGUGAGGCUUAACCUU
rnacentral:rRNA from 1 species